GCCAGAGUGGCAUAGUGGUUUGAGCAUCACUCUAGAGUCAUGAUGACUCCAGAGACCAGGGUUCAAAUCCCUGCUCAGUCA